rnacentral:rRNA from 1 species
GAUGAACGCUGGCGGCGUGCCUAAUACAUGCAAGUCGAGCGAACGGACGAGAAGCUUGCUUCUCUGAUGUUAGCGGCGGACGGGUGAGUAACACGUGGAUAACCUACCUAUAAGACUGGGAUAACUUCGGGAAACCGGAGCUAAUACCGGAUAAUAUUUUGAACCGCAUGGUUCAAAAGUGAAAGACGGUCUUGCUGUCACUUAUAGAUGGAUCCGCGCUGCAUUAGCUAGUUGGUAAGGUAACGGCUUACCAAGGCAACGAUGCAUAGCCGACCUGAGAGGGUGAUCGGCCACACUGGAACUGAGACACGGUCCAGACUCCUACGGGAGGCAGCAGUAGGGAAUCUUCCGCAAUGGGCGAAAGCCUGACGGAGCAACGCCGCGUGAGUGAUGAAGGUCUUCGGAUCGUAAAACUCUGUUAUUAGGGAAGAACAUAUGUGUAAGUAACUGUGCACAUCUUGACGGUACCUAAUCAGAAAGCCACGGCUAACUACGUGCCAGCAGCCGCGGUAAUACGUAGGUGGCAAGCGUUAUCCGGAAUUAUUGGGCGUAAAGCGCGCGUAGGCGGUUUUUUAAGUCUGAUGUGAAAGCCCACGGCUCAACCGUGGAGGGUCAUUGGAAACUGGAAAACUUGAGUGCAGAAGAGGAAAGUGGAAUUCCAUGUGUAGCGGUGAAAUGCGCAGAGAUAUGGAGGAACACCAGUGGCGAAGGCGACUUUCUGGUCUGUAACUGACGCUGAUGUGCGAAAGCGUGGGGAUCAAACAGGAUUAGAUACCCUGGUAGUCCACGCCGUAAACGAUGAGUGCUAAGUGUUAGGGGGUUUCCGCCCCUUAGUGCUGCAGCUAACGCAUUAAGCACUCCGCCUGGGGAGUACGACCCCAAGGUUGAAACUCAAAGGAAUUGACGGGGACCCGCACAAGCGGUGGAGCAUGUGGUUUAAUUCGAAGCAACGCGAAGAACCUUACCAAAUCUUGACAUCCUUUGACAACUCUAGAGAUAGAGCUUUCCCCUUCGGGGGACAAAGUGACAGGUGGUGCAUGGUUGUCGUCAGCUCGUGUCGUGAGAUGUUGGGUUAAGUCCCGCAACGAGCGCAACCCUUAAGCUUAGUUGCCAUCAUUAAGUUGGGCACUCUAAGUUGACUGCCGGUGACAAACCGGAGGAAGGUGGGGAUGACGUCAAAUCAUCAUGCCCCUUAUGAUUUGGGCUACACACGUGCUACAAUGGACAAUACAAAGGGCAGCGAAACCGCGAGGUCAAGCAAAUCCCAUAAAGUUGUUCUCAGUUCGGAUUGUAGUCUGCAACUCGACUACAUGAAGCUGGAAUCGCUAGUAAUCGUAGAUCAGCAUGCUACGGUGAAUACGUUCCCGGGUCU